UACGUAGGUGGCAAGCGUUGUCCGGAAUUAUUGGGCGUAAAGCGCGCGCAGGCGGUCCUUUAAGUCUGAUGUGAAAGCCCACGGCUCAACCGUGGAAGGUCAUUGGAAACUGGGGGACUUGAGUGCAGAAGAGGAAAGCGGAAUUCCAAGUGUAGCGGUGAAAUGCGUAGAGAUUUGGAGGAACACCAGUGGCGAAGGCGGCUUUCUGGUCUGUAACUGACGCUGAGGCGCGAAAGCGUGGGGAGCAAACAGG
rnacentral:rRNA from 1 species